rnacentral:rRNA from 1 species
GCUCCGCAAGGAGAGUGGCAGACGGGUGAGUACACGUGGGAACGUACCCUUUACUACGGAACAACUCCGGGAAACUGGAGCUAAUACCGUAUGUGCCCUUCGGGGGAAAGAUUUAUCGGUAAAGGAUCGGCCCGCGUUGGAUUAGCUAGUUGGUGGGGUAAAGGCCUACCAAGGCGACGAUCCAUAGCUGGUCUGAGAGGAUGAUCAGCCACAUUGGGACUGAGACACGGCCCAAACUCCUACGGGAGGCAGCAGUGGGGAAUAUUGGACAAUGGGCGCAAGCCUGAUCCAGCCAUGCCGCGUGUGUGAUGAAGGCCUUAGGGUUGUAAAGCACUUUCACCGGAGAAGAUAAUGACGGUAUCCGGAGAAGAAGCCCCGGCUAACUUCGUGCCAGCAGCCGCGGUAAUACGAAGGGGGCUAGCGUUGUUCGGAAUUACUGGGCGUAAAGCGCACGUAGGCGGAUAUUUAAGUCAGGGGUGAAAUCCCAGAGCUCAACUCUGGAACUGCCUUUGAUACUGGGUAUCUUGAGUAUGGAAGAGGUAAGUGGAAUUGCGAGUGUAGAGGUGAAAUUCGUAGAUAUUCGCAGGAACACCAGUGGCGAAGGCGGCUUACUGGUCCAUAACUGACGCUGAGGUGCGAAAGCGU